rnacentral:sRNA from 1 species
UGUCUACAUCCGGCUUUACCUAAACCCCACCCAGGUUGCUUUACGUAGCAGUGAAAAACCGGUAUUUUCUAUCGGUGAAUCACACUC